rnacentral:rRNA from 1 species
UAGAGUUUGAUUCUGGCUCGAUUGAACGCGGCGGCAUGCCUUACACAUGCAAGUCGAACGGCGCACGGGGGCAACCCUGGUGGCGAGUGGCGAACGGUGAGUAAUAUAUCGGAACGUGCCUGGAGUGGGAUAACGUAGGAAAGUUACGCUAAUCCGCAUACGAUCUACGGAUGAAAGUGGGGGAUGCAAGACCUCAUGCUCGUGGAGCGGCCAUAUCUGAUUAGUAGUUGUAGGGUAAAAGCCUACCAAGGCAUCGAUCAGUAGCUGGUCUGAGAGGACGCCAGCCACACUGGGACUGAGACACGGCCCAGACUCCUCGGGAGGCGCAGUGGGGAAUUUUGGACAAUGGGGGCAACCCUGAUCCAGCAAUGCCGCGUGAGUGAAGAAGGCCUUCGGGUUGUAAACUCUCUUGUCGGGAAGAAACGGUUCUGGUUAAUCCUGGGGCUAAUGACGGUACCGGAAGAAUAAGCACCGGCUGACUACUGCCGCCGCCGCGGAAUUC